rnacentral:rRNA from 1 species
GACGAACGCUGGCGGCGUGCCUAAUACAUGCAAGUAGAACGCUGAAGGAGGAGCUUGCUUCUCCGGAUGAGUUGCGAACGGGUGAGUAACGCGUAGGUAACCUGCCUGGUAGCGGGGGAUAACUAUUGGAAACGAUAGCUAAUACCGCAUAAGAGUAGAUGUCGCAUGACAUUUGCUUAAAAGGUGCAACUGCACCACUACCAGAUGGACCUGCGUUGUAUUAGCUAGUUGGUGAGGUAACGGCUCACCAAGGCAACGAUACAUAGCCGACCUGAGAGGGUGAUCGGCCAAACUGGGACUGAGACACGGCCCAGAAUCCUACGGGAGGCAGCAGUAGGGGAUCUUCGGCAAUGGACGGAAGUCUGACCGAGCAACGCCGCGUGAGUGAAGAAGGUUUUCGGAUCGUAAAGCUCUGUUGUAAGAGAAGAACGAGUGUGAGAGUGGAAAGUUCACACUGUGACGGUAUCUUACCAGAAAGGGACGGCUAACUACGUG